rnacentral:rRNA from 1 species
UACGUAGGGGCUAGCGUUAUCCGGAAUUACUGGGCGUAAAGGGUGCGUAGGUGGUUUCUUAAGUCAGAGGUGAAAGGCUACGGCUCAACCGUAGUAAGCCUUUGAAACUGAGAAACUUGAGUGCAGGAGAGGAGAGUAGAAUUCCUAGUGUAGCGGUGAAAUGCGUAGAUAUUAGGAGGAAUACCAGUUGCGAAGGCGGCUCUCUGGACUGUAACUGACACUGAGGCACGAAAGCGUGGGGAGCAAACAGGAUUAGAUACCCCGGUAGUCCCUGAG